rnacentral:lncRNA from 1 species
UGCUUAUUACAGAUAGUGCACGGUGCUAAGUACCCCAGGACUACAGGAAAAAAUAAGAAUACGUGCUGUAUCCAUGAUCAGGAGGCACACAGGCCACAGUGCCAGCUGUGGAAUCACACAGCCCGGGUUCAAAGCCCAGCUGGGCCAUGACCACCUGAAGGACUUGUGGGAAGGUCUUAGGUAAAUUUGUGAAAAGAAGUGGAGACCCUGCCUGCCAGGAAGGGAUGUGGUAAGGGGCAGCAUCCAGUCAGUUCAGGGCACGGCAUCCUCUCCCUGGAAACCUGCAUAGCGGGACUGGUGGCCCUAGCUGCCAGGGCCGCCAUGGAGAAGACGGGCCUGGCUUCAGGCGGCACAGAGGCACUGGAACAGCCCUGGGGGAACUUGGUAGGAUGCGGGUGGCCCUGUGCUGGGCUUCCAGCAGAUUCUGGCCCUGUAACCCAGGAGAUAGGGCCGGGCAAUACAGGGCCACUGGGUGCCAAGACAGUGCCCAGGCCAAGCGCCAGGUGGAAAGGGCUCUGAUAUGUCAGCCCUGCAUCCCCCACAGCCUCACAGAGGGGCCCAUCAGGGGCCACAUACCUGCCCCCGGGAGCAGGAUGUCACCAGGUGUGAGAGAGUCCUGCUGGGUUCUGCGGAGGCGGGAGUGGUGGGGGUGGGGCUCUCCCUUUUGCCCUUUGACCCCUCUGGUAGGCGCCCUAGGACGGGGGUGCUCCCGCGCGCUUCUGCGCGCCCUGGUUCUGUCACCAGCCCCAUUGGGACGUCACAAGCGCUCAGCUGCCCAGUGCGCGCCUGGCGAAAGAGAAGUGAGCGACUACGGAGCAGCGUCUCCAUUACUGACCGUUUUCUCGCCAUUGUACCCGCACAACUUGCUCUAAAUGGGCAAUUUAUUAAGUAUAUUUCGUCCCGGGUCCCGCCGCAGACCCCUGCCGGGCCGUCGCUCACAAGCUCCCAUAGCCCGUGAGUCCUCUCAGCCUGGCCCGGCUCACCCUGCGGCGCCCACGCCUACCCCGGGCCCUUUCCGAUUCCUCUUCAACCCUCAGCAGAGCCGUGGGCCUUCUCCAGUCAACUUCUACAGCGCCCCUAGGGAACCGUGUCCUCUCCCGCCAGACACGGACGUCCCCCUGGGGAUCCUGCCUGCUGUGGGCGGCCGGCUCCCCUCAAGGAAGAAACCUGUGCUGUCUGCUCGCAACUCCAUGAUGCUGGGACACCCCAGCUCCGUGAGGAUACCUCCUCCCAGCAGCCAGUUCCCUCUCCAACUGCCUUCGCCACUUGAGCAGGUGACCGGGGCUAGGAAGCUGAUUCCGAUCCCAGCCAGGCUGCCGAAUAAGACCAAGUGCAUCAUGCGACACUGCGUGCUGGCGCUGAAGUUAGAAUCAAAGUGCAGCUACCAAAGGGCAGCCACCUGGAUCAAGUCCAUCCUGGUAGCUGUCAGAAAGCACAGCAUGUUCACUAACGGGGGCCAGCCUUGCUCCCGUUGUCAGAUGGAAUUUCCCAGGAGGCCAUGGCUUCUUCAGGGAUCUGUCAUCCAUUAGUGAAGGGAGUGGUCUCUGGAGGCAAACCUGCCUGGGGCUGCCUCAGCCGCACUGGCUCCCAGAGAGUGACCUGGCUGCGUGAGCAGGGAGGCCAAGCCCACCAAGAGCCUCAGCACACCCCCAGCACCUGCUGCGAGCAAGCUGCAUGGCUUCCCCAAGAGUGGAUGUGACAACAUCAUGGGUAAUUACAGAUUCCGUUUCACUGCAUCCCAGGC